rnacentral:snoRNA from 1 species
UCGGGACUUUAUCUCCAUGUCUAUGACGUUUGCUAGGUAGCCGUGGUAAACGAAUCCCGUAAAUAAAUUAUGGCACGGAUGCUGGGUGCCUAUGGUUCCCAGUGCAGAGUGGGAAAACUGAAAAUAAAAUAUGAUAUCCACUUUUUUUCCAUUUUGAAACCGUGCUACAGCU